rnacentral:rRNA from 1 species
CGUAGGUGGCAAGCGUUAUCCGGAUUUAUUGGGCGUAAAGCGAGCGCAGGCGGUUACUUAGGUCUGAUGUGAAAGCCUUCGGCUUAACCGAAGAAGUGCAUCGGAAACCGGGCGACUUGAGUGCAGAAGAGGACAGUGGAACUCCAUGUGUAGCGGUGGAAUGCGUAGAUAUAUGGAAGAACACCAGUGGCGAAGGCGGCUGUCUGGUCUGCAACUGACGCUGAGGCUCGAAAGCAUGGGUAGCGAA